rnacentral:misc_RNA from 1 species
AUGGUGUGUGAUUCCUACCUGACAAAGGCACAUGGCUUAUUGAGCUAUUGGAAUCUUGAAAGGGGCAUAGAAUUAACAUGUUCUGGUUCAAGUAAGAAAAAUAUGUUUUCUAUUUGGAGCCUAGUUCAAGCGGAGCCCCAUUGAGCGAGGACGGUGCCAUUAGGUCAUGUUCAAGUAUAAGAUUGCCUUAGAAAAUAACUCUGUUCUAUAAAUUCUUGCAGCUAACUUCCAUUAUUGCCUUCUAUGCUGCUAACAAGUACAAAGUUAUAUUUUAAAUCUGAUGUCCAUUUUUCUCUUUGUUGGUAAUAUUUGCAGGU